CAAACACGCACACACACCAAACGGCCAUAAGUAGAAGUGGACACCCCCGCACACCCUCCCCCCCCUCCACAGCACCAUUCCACGAAUGCUGGCAGCACAGUGGAACUAUUUUGCACGAGCGACACAGGGGUCAACUCCGCAGUAGGUUUGCUAGAGCUCGCCCAAAUCCAGGGAGCCGACGGUAAAAAGAAGAAAAGAUUUCAAAAGAGACAGGGGAAGGUGUGGUACGUGGUGUUCCGGGGGAGAAAUCCUGGUGUGUACCGUGAAUGGCAGGAUUGCAAUGAUCAGGUUUGUGGAUUCCCCAACUGUUCUUUUCGCAUCUACCCUUCAAGGGACGAAGCAAUGGCGGCGUACCUAGCGUACUUCAAGAAGCAAGAAAGUGCAGGGAGUGGGAGCCAGGUCGGCGCAUACAACGACGAGAUCUACCCGGUGGUGCAAGUUGUUCCCCCUGCAGCAGUACCUUUACAGGCAGGAGAGAAUGAGGCUGACAGCCCCCCUGCAGCAGCGGAUCCAGACAUUGGCCCCGUUCUGGUGAUUCUUAUUGCUUUGUUCCUGGUGGUGGUUGCAUACUUCCUGAACUAGAAGAAGUGUAGCACGAGUGCGUGCAACCUGUAUCAUUUUGGAAAGUCUGCAUGCGGAAGGAUUAGCAUUGUCUCCAGUACGCAUAAUCGAUGCAUGGUAGCAUGAACCUCGUGUUCUAGGCCAAGAAUUAAGUUGUAGAAGGUUGUGCAAGUGUAGAAUUAAGUUGUAAGGUGGUGUAAGUGUAGCGUACAGCUACUGCUUGUAGUGGAGCAACUAAAGUACUUCAAAGAAAAUGUUCUGAUGCUCCAUAA